rnacentral:rRNA from 1 species
UACGAAGGUGGCAAGCGUUAUCCGGAUUGAUUGGGCGUAAAGCGUCCGCAGACGGUUCGAUAAGUCUUCUGUCAAAUCCUGAAGCUCAACUUCAGGGCCGCGGGAGAAACUGUCGUUCUCGAGACUGGAAGAGGCAAGCGGAAUUACCGGUGUAGCGGUAAAAUGCGUUAAUAUCGGUAAGAACACCAAAUGCGAAGGCAGCUUGCUGGGACAGUUCUGACGUUAAGGGACGAAAGCGUGGGGAG